rnacentral:ncRNA from 1 species
AGAUGGGCCCUCAAGGGCCAUGCUCAAGUCAACCCUGCUCUCGGUACUCCAUGUCUAGGACCAUGUGGGCCUCGAGACAUGAUCUCCUAGUUAUCCCUAGAUAUCGGGGAUAACAUCUCCUAUUUUAGGUAACUAAUGAGAGAAUGGCGACAUGAGUAGAGAUAAGGAUGGCCAUCCUCCCUGAAUACGUAAGGGUGAGAUAGAUCAGUUCAACUUCUAUCUGUUAUUACGGACCCUAAGGUACUUUUUAUAAUGGAUGAGGCUGAUGGGAGUGGUUUAUGUUUGCAGAUCUAGUGGUCUGAAAGGAAAUAGCAUAACUAUGAUUACCAUACCCUAAACCAACACAGGUACGUGGGUAGAGCAUACUAAGGGGUAGGAUUAAUAACAUUUAAGGAACUUGGAAAAAUGCUCCCGUAUGUUUGACAAUAAGGGAGAGAUGAUUACAGCUGUCAUAGAAUUUUGGAUUGCGCAACAACACAGGUAUCUGCUAUAAUUCAAGUUAUUGUAUAGGUACUUAACCUUGCCCAGUGUAGGUAGUAUAAGAGAGGGUAUACUAUUAUAGUAAUCGAUUACUCUUUAAGCUCCUAUUAAUGGCGACCUUAACUAGAAGGGUCUGAAGGUUGGAUUGCAACCUUUGUAUAAUAUCUCUUUAUGUUGAAACAUUAUAGAAUUGACGAUACUCAAGUAGUCAUAUCUCGUAGUCCGAAAAGAAGAAUCGACAGGAUUUCAAUCCCUAGAGACGAUAUGAAAUAACUUAAGCACCUAUAAGGUAUAAAGUCAAAUAUGGUCCAAUACUAGCAAGUUAGUGAUACACUCCCUCGCGGAAUGCGGGGCCGAAACGUAAUGCUUGUCAGUAUGAAAAAGCGAAAUUGCUUGUCCACUAAUUAUGGUCCCGCAUGAAUAGGGUAACGAUAGUCCCGCUAUCUCAAACAUUAAUCCAGUGAAAUUGAAUUUGCUAAAAGGUGUGUAUCCUCUGGCAGGCGAGAAGACCCUAUGCAGCUUUACUACAGUUAGUCAUUGGAAAUACUUAGAAGAAUGUAAGGCAGUCAACGAGACAUCAAUUCAAAACCUUAAUUCCAUCUUGAGUAUUCCUAACCAUUUAUUGGGACAUUGGAUGAUGGGUAGUUUCACUGGGAUGGUGCCCACUAAUAAGGUAUCAGAGGGAUCUAAAGGUAUACUCAAUUCGGCUGGAAACCGAGGGACUAAGCAUGGUCUGAUAGAGACUAGUAUUUAUGUAGGCUUUACUGUCAUACUGAUAGGUCGAGCAGUCGCGCAAGCGAAGUAUAAUGAUACGGCAAUAUGGUAUGGAUCUGGUUGUAUAAAAUAGAGAACGUUAUGCUAGGGAUAAUAGGUUGAUCGCCCGUAAGAGUUCACAUUGUCCGGGCGGUGUGACACCUUAAGCAUCGGGUUGUCUUUAUGUUCAUUUAUGCUUAUAAAU